rnacentral:rRNA from 1 species
CCAGUGAAAUUAAACGGCUGCGGUACCCUGACCGUGCAAAGGUAGCAUAAUCACUCGUUCUUUAAAUAAGGACUCGUAUCAAUGGCACCACGAGAGUUAAACUGUCUCCCCCCCCCAAUCAGUGAAAUUGACCCCCCCGUGAAGAAGCGGGGAUAUGAAUAUAAGACGAGAAGACCCCAUGGAGCUUUAAACCACACUGCAUCUCUACCCCACAACCCCACAUAAUACUUAGAGUUUUGCAGUAAGGUCUUUGGUUGGGGUGACCGCGGAGUAAAAACUAGCCUCCACAACGUAAAGAACCAAAUCUUUAUCCAAGAAUUACUAUUCAAAGAAUUUGAAAACAAACGACUAAUGAUCCGACUUUCGAUCAACGGACCAAGUUACCCUGGGGAUAACAGCGCAAUCUACUUUUAGAGCCCUUAUCAACAAGUAGGCUUACGACCUCGAUGUUGGAUCAGGGUAUCCUAGCGGCGCAGCCGUUGCUAACGGUUCGUUUGUUCAACGAUUA